rnacentral:rRNA from 1 species
GGCAGCACGGACUUCGGUCUGGUGGCGAGUGGCGAACGGGUGAGUAACAUAUCGGAACGUAUCCAAUAAUGGGGGAUAACUAAUCGAAAGGUUGGCUAAUACCGCAUACGCCCUACGGGGGAAAGCUAGGGACCUUCGGGCCUGGCGUUAAUGGAGCGGCCGAUAUCUGAUUAGCUAGUUGGUGAGGUAAAGGCUCACCAAGGCGACGAUCAGUAGCUGGUCUGAGAGGACGACCAGCCACACUGGAACUGAGACACGGUCCAGACUCCUACGGGAGGCAGCAGUGGGGAAUUUUGGACAAUGGGCGCAAGCCUGAUCCAGCCAUUCCGCGUGAGUGAAGAAGGCCUUCGGGUUGUAAAGCUCUUUCGCAAGGGAAGAAAACUUACCCUCUAACAUAGGGUGAGGUUGACGGUACCUUGAUAAGAAGCACCGGCUAACUACGUGCCAGCAGCCGCGGUAAUACGUAGGGUGCGAGCGUUAAUCGGAAUUACUGGGCGUAAAGCGUGCGCAGGCGGUUUUGAAAGUCAGAUGUGAAAUCCCCGAGCUCAACUUGGGAACUGCGUUUGAAACUCCAAAACUCGAAUAUGUCAGAGGGGGGUAGAAUUCCACGUGUAGCAGUGAAAUGCGUAGAGAUGUGGAGGAAUACCAAUGGCGAAGGCAGCCCCCUGGGAUAAUAUUGACGCUCAUGCACGAAGCGUGGGGAGCAAACAGGAUUAGAUACCCUGGUAGUCCACGCCCUAAACGAUGUCUACUAGUUGUUGGUGGAGUAAAAUCCAUGAGUAACGCAGCUAACGCGUGAAG